CGGGGGGCUGCACCAGUGGGGAAUAUUGCACAAUGGAGGAAACUCUGAUGCAGCAACGCCGCGUGGAGGAUGACACUUUUCGGUGUGUAAACUCCUUUUAUAUGUCAAGAAAAUGACGGUAGCAUAUGAAUAAGCACCGGCUAACUCCGUGCCAGCAGCCGCGGUAAUACGGAGGGUGCAAGCGUUACUCGGAAUCACUGGGCGUAAAGGACGCGUAGGCGGGUUGGAAAGUCAGGUGUGAAAUCCUACAGCUUAACUGUAGAACUGCACUUGAAACUUCUAAUCUAGAGUAUGGGAGGGGGAGAUGGAAUUAGUGGUGUAGGGGUAAAAUCCGUAGAUAUCACUAGGAAUACCUAAAGCGAAGGCGAUCUCCUGGAACAUUACUGACGCUAAGGCGUGAAAGCGUGGGGAGCAAACAGGAUUAGAUACCCUAGUAGUC
rnacentral:rRNA from 1 species